rnacentral:rRNA from 1 species
UCCAAAAGCUGAAAUAUAAACACCAGACGAGAAGACCCUGUGGAGCUUCCAAACCAAUACCAACGCCUAUGGUUAUACGGUUUUUAGUUGGGGCGACUUCGGAGAACAAAAAAACCUCCAACUAGGAAACUUUCCUGAUUAAGAUCUACACAUCUAAAUAUUUAACUUGACCCAGUAGGCAUUACCCCCAUCUGAUCAAGGAACCAAGUUACCCCAGGGAUAACAGCGCUAUCCUCUUCUAGAGUCCCUAUCGACAAGAGGGCUUACGACCUCGAUGUUGGAUCAGGACACCCCAAUAGUGCAACCGCUAU